GUCCAUGUGAUCCAAAUUUUUUUGCCCCAAAUUAUUACCAUAUACUUAAUAUUCUCUUCCUCAUUCAUUAACCUGCGGCAAUGGGAGUUCUUCAGUGGUUGUUCUUACAGGAUAACUCGAUUGAUUCGUACCCAUCCAUCCCGUUUCUCCGCCGACCAUUUAACAUCAACCAUUUCUUAUUCUCUGUUCCUCCAACUCUUUCUUCGACCACCAACAAUACUCUCGAUUGGGGUAAAAAGGUAACGGUUUCCAUGAGAAUGAAAAAAUCACAGGAGAAGAACGGAAGAAGAUGAAGAAGAAGAUGAGUCGAAUCGCGAGUUGACUAGGCUGUAAAAGGUCUACAAUACCCUUAAGUCGUGUUAAAUUAACUGUCGUUACUGUUCUUUUGAAUAAAACGGGACGGAAAAGUCUAACUCGGCCAUUUUAUAAAAUAAUUCAAAAAAAUGGCCACUUUCUUAAUUAUAUGUCAAAAAGGUGGCCACUUUAUUAAAAAGCCCUAAUUUCAAUUAGUAAAUAUGAGGUUGUCAAUACAAGAAAUCAAACGAUAACAAAUAUUUAUUAUUGGUACAA